rnacentral:lncRNA from 1 species
ACCAACAAGGAAACCAGAGAACCGAGCGGAGCCCAGAUCCGGAUGCGGACAGGACGGGAUCAGCCGCCGAAGCCGUAGAGGGUGCGGCCCUGGCGCUUGAGGGCGUAGACGACGUCCAUGGCGGUGACGGUCUUGCGGCGGGCGUGCUCCGUGUAGGUGACGGCGUCGCGGAUGACGUUCUCGAGGAAGAUCUUGAGCACGCCGCGGGUCUCCUCGUAGAUGAGCCCCGAGAUGCGCUUCACGCCGCCACGGCGCGCCAGGCGACGGAUCGCCGG